CGUGUACACACACCCCCGUUUCUUUCAGUUAAUAAAUGUCUGGGCUCCUCUCUCUCGGAAAGGUUGGCGUUCUUCACUUUGGUAAUGUCACGAGAGACACCUGUCCCCAUUCAGGGAGGCAGCAGGGAAGGGGAGCUCUUAGAACCACAGAAAUGAGAGAGCAGAGGAACCAAAGAGGUCAGCACAUCCAUCAGCGUGACACUCGGGCUGCCUUCUGCAGGGACCUUGUCAGGGAUUUGCUCUCCUCUGUUUUGACUCCAGAAAAAAAGAGGGAACAGGACAGACAGAGCUGCUGCGGUUAA
rnacentral:lncRNA from 1 species